rnacentral:misc_RNA from 1 species
GGGCAUCUCGAUAUAUCACCUGGAAAGUGCAAGCAAUGUUCAAAAGCAGAUUGGAGGUGAAAUCAAUUAUUCAGGAAAUCGCAAAUAGAGCUAUCUUGUAAAGCACCAAUAACUGACAUUAUGUAUGAAUGAGAUUUUUGCCCUCUCAAUUUCUCAUUGUUCCAAUGCUUUUGUAUUCUACAAGGUAUUCUCAUUGGAUUCACACACACAAACAGGGAGGGAAUCCUCUUAACAGGGUGAAAAAAAAAUUCAAAACAGACUUGAACGAAGACAGACCUG